GGCACUUUGGCGGAGUGGUCAACGCGAUAGCCGUAAGUUUCCCUCCAAUUAAUUGGGUUUCAGCAACUCCUAACAACGCAGCAGUGCUAAGCUAUUUCCUUCGGGAGCCAGGGUUCGAAUCCCUGAGGUGUCG